rnacentral:tRNA from 1 species
GCUUUUAGUUCAGUGGUAGAAUGCUCGCCUGCCACGCGGGCGCCACGGGUUCGAUUCCCGGCCGAUACA